CCAGACUCCUACGGGAGGCAGCAGUGGGGAAUCUUCCGCAAUGGGCGAAAGCCUGACGGAGCAACGCCGCGUGAUCGAAUGAAGGCCUUCGGGUUGUAAACUGCUUUUAUAAGCGAGAAAUAUGAUGGUAACUUAUGAAUAAGGAUCGGCUAACUACGUGCCAGCAGCCGCGGUCAUACGUAGGAUCCGAGCAUUAUCCGGAGUGACUGGGUGUAAAGAGUUGCGUAGGUGGCAUAAUAAGUAGCUAGUGAAAUCUGGUGGCUCAACCAUUCAGACUAUUAGCUAAACUGUUAAGCUCGAGACCGUUAGGGGUAACUGGAAUUUCUAGUGUAGGGUUGAAAUCCGUAGAUAUUAGAAGGAACACCAAUAGCGUAGGCAGGUUACUGGGACGGUUCUGACACUAAGGCACGAAAGCGUAGGGAGCAAACGGGAUUAGAUACCCUCGUAA
rnacentral:rRNA from 1 species